AUUGAACGCUGGCGGCAGGCCUAACACAUGCAAGUCGAACGGUAGCACAAUAAAGGUUGGUUCUUACGUGAGGCGAGUGGGGGGGGGGAGAGGUAUACGGGGGACUCUACGUUGGAGGGGGGGAACAAGUAGGGAAAGUAGCGAAAAUAGCAUAACCUAGCUAGGGGAGAGAGGAGGGGAUCUGCGGACCUUGCCAUCGGGAAUGACCCGAUGUGGGAUUAGCUAGUUGGCGGGGUAAAGGCCCACCAAGGCGACGAUCCCUAGCUGGUCUGAGAGGAUGAUCAGCCACACUGGAACUGAGACACGGUCCAGACUCCUACGGGAGGCAGCAGUGGGGAAUAUUGGACAAUGGGCGCAAGCCUGAUCCAGCCAUACCGCGUGUGUGAAGAAGGCCUUCGGGUUGUAAAGUCCUUUUGUUGGGAAAGAAAAGCAGCAGGUUAAUACCCCGGUGUACUGACGUUACCCACAGAAUAAGCACCGGCUAACUUCGUG
rnacentral:rRNA from 1 species